CUACCCCCGGGCUACUUUCCUUGAUCCCGGGGAUACCUUCACUGAACAACUUCCUUUUGGACUACUUUUUCACUCCCGGUGGCGGGGGUUACAUGCGACCACAACCAAUACUGCCCGGCUACUUUCCUUAACUAUGUGUCACGUGAUCGGAUAACCUGAAUGCCACGUGAUGGGAAUACAAACGUGCGAUAUGAACUCACGUUUUAAAUAAGACCAGACGUUUAGGCGUAAUACAGACCGUUGUGUGGUGUGUUUGUUAUGUUUGAUAACAAUUUUGUAAAAUUGUACAUAAUUCUAUAAUAAAUAAUGAAAGGUUUCAAAAUUUAUGUUGUUUCAGUGAAUAUAUUCGUAAACAUGAA